rnacentral:tRNA from 1 species
GCAUUGGUAGUUCAGUGGUAAAAUUCUUACCUUCCAUGCAGGAGACCCUGGUUUGAUUCCCAGUCAAUGCA